rnacentral:rRNA from 1 species
CAUGCAAGUCGAACGAUGAAGCCGCUUCGGUGGUGGAUUAGUGGCGAACGGGUGAGUAACACGUGGGCAAUCUGCCCUGCACUCUGGGACAAGCCCUGGAAACGGGGUCUAAUACCGGAUAUGACACGGGGAGGCAUCUUCUUCGUGUGGAAAGCUCCGGCGGUGCAGGAUGAGCCCGCGGCCUAUCAGCUUGUUGGUGGGGUAAUGGCCUACCAAGGCGACGACGGGUAGCCGGCCUGAGAGGGCGACCGGCCACACUGGGACUGAGACACGGCCCAGACUCCUACGGGAGGCAGCAGUGGGGAAUAUUGCACAAUGGGCGCAAGCCUGAUGCAGCGACGCCGCGUGAGGGAUGACGGCCUUCGGGUUGUAAACCUCUUUCAGCAGGGAAGAAGCGCAAGUGACGGUACCUGCAGAAGAAGCACCGGCUAACUACGUGCCAGCAGCCGCGGUAAUACGUAGGGUGCGAGCGUUGUCCGGAAUUAUUGGGCGUAAAGAGCUCGUAGGCGGCUGUCGCGUCGGAUGGGAAAGCCCGGGGCUUAACCCCGGGUCUGCAUUCGAUACGGGCAGGCUAAGAGUUCGGUAGGGGAGAUCGGAAUUCUUGUUGUAGCGGUGAAAUGCGCAGAUAUCAGGAGGAACACCGGUGGCGAAGGCGGAUUUCUGGGCCGAUACUGACGCUGAGGAGCGAAAGCGUGGGGAGCGACCAGGAUUAGAUACCUUGGUAGUCCACGCCGUAAACGUUGGGAAUUAGGUGUGGGUGGCAUUCCACUUCAUCCGUGCGGCAGUUAACCCAUUAAGUUCCCCCCCUGGGGAGUACGGCCGCAAGGUUAAAAUUCAAAGGAAUUGACGGGGGCCCGCCCAAGCGGCGGACCAUGUGGCUUAAUUGGACGCAACGGGAAGACCCUUACCAAGGCUUGACAUCCCCCGGAAACAUCCAGAGAUGGGUGCCCCCUUGUGGUCGGUGUCCAGGUGGUGCAUGGCGGUCUUCAGUUCGUUUCGUGAGAUGUUGGGUUAAUUCCCGCAACGAGCCCAACCCUUGUUUUGUGUUGCCACCAUGCCCCUGGGGGUGAGGGGGAUUCCCAGGAGACUGCCGGGGUCAAUUGGGAGGAAGGGGGGGAGGAGGUCAAGUCUUCAUGCCCCUUAUUUCUUGGGCUGCCCACGUGUUCCAAUGGCCGGUCCAAUGAGUUGGGAUGCCGUGAGGUGGAGGGAAUUUCAAAAAGCCGGUUUCAGUUCGGAUUGGGUUUUGCAAUUGGACCCCAGGAAUUGGGAGUCGUUAGUAAUCGCAGAUCACCAGUGUUGCGGGGAAUACGUUCCCGGCCCUUGUCCACACCGCCCGUCACGUCAGGAAAGUCGGUACCACCGGAAGCCGGUGCCCUAACCCCCUUGUGGGGAGG